rnacentral:rRNA from 1 species
AGAGUUUGAUCCUGGCUCAAAAUCAACGCUGGCGGCGUGCCUAACACAUGCAAGUCGAACGAGAAAGUGUAGCAAUACAUGAGUACAGUGGCGACCGGGUGAGUAACACGUGACUAACCUACCCUCUUGUGGGGAAUAACCUUCCGAAAGGAGGGCUAAUACCGCAUAACAUCGCGAGGUGAGAUUCCUUGUGAUCAAAGGAGCAAUUCGCAGGAGGAGGGGGUCGCGGCUGAUUAGCUAGUUGGUGAGGUAAUGGCUCACCAAGGCAGUGAUCAGUAUCCGGCCUGAGAGGGCGCACGGACACACUGGAACUGAAACACGGUCCAGACUCCUACGGGAGGCAGCAGUGGGGAAUUUUGCGCAAUGGGGGAAACCCUGACGCAGCAACGCCGCGUGGAGGAUGAAGGUCUUUGGAUUGUAAACUCCUUUCGAUCGGGACGAUGAUGACGGUACCGGAAGAAAAGCACCGGCUAACU